rnacentral:lncRNA from 1 species
GAAGCACACCAAGGUCACGCUCCCAACCGUCUCCAAUUACACCAUUCAUGACGCCGAGGACGCCGAGAAUGCCAAGCAAGAAGGUACCACCACCUGCAUUUAUUAUCCAUUUUUUGUGCAUUGGCUGACACCCAUUUAUACUUAGUUUGUUAGUGAGUCAGGCAAUCUCGUUCUAUUCCCUGUUCCCAUCCGCAAUCUUGGUGCGCAGAGCAUCAAUUAAGAACCUCAUUCUGUUUCUAAUGGCAGAACAGAAGCAGCAGUACUAGUGCCAGUAAUUUUUGAAAAGAAGUGUAGUAUCCUAGUACUUACUUGAGUAGUGGCACUGUUAGAGAAGAACUGAAGUGCUAAUGGUAGUUCAGUAGUACUAUGACCGCAAGCUAGAACAAUGUAGUGGUCAUUAGUUUAAUCCGAGUUACCGGUGGUGAAAAUAGACAGCCAACGCAGACGUCCAAUUCAAGCUACUGUGUCUUACCAAUACGGAUGCUGUUCUCGGUGACGCCCACUUGGAGCAUUGAUUGCUUCGCAUCACGUGUCAGAGCCCGUACUGUGCUGUUAUCGAUGGAUCGUUACUGCUAGUAGAUUUUUAUCCCAGUCAUGCUCUGCACUCACGCUGAUCCAGCUGUUUUGCAUCACGUCCAAUUUUUAAUGAACACACCACCAUGUAUCUUCAAUUUCCCAGGCUUGAGCAACAUCCAGCAGCAGCAGCAGCAGGGCAGCAAGCCGUUGUGCGACUUCUCGAAUUUUCGGGCGAACGUGUGCGAGAUGCGUGGCGACGUGAGAGUCCACCCGAAGGCGACGUCGGUGCUGUUCAUGGAGCCCGAGGGCUCGCAGAGGGACGAGGUGUGGAAGAUCAAGCCUUAC